rnacentral:rRNA from 1 species
AUUGAACGCUGGCGGCAGGCUUAACACAUGCAAGUCGAGCGGGGAAGGGUAGCUUGCUACCUAACCUAGCGGCGGACGGGUGAGUAAUGCUUAGGAAUCUGCCAUUUAGUGGGGGACAACAUUCCGAAAGGAAUGCUAAUACCGCAUACGUCCUACGGGAGAAAGCAGGGGAUCUUCGGACCUUGCGCUAAAUGAUGAGCCUAAGUCGGAUUAGCUAGUUGGUGGGGUAAAGGCCUACCAAGGCGACGAUCUGUAACGGGUCUGAGAGGAUGAUCCGCCACACUGGGACUGAGACACGGCCCAGACUCCUACGGGAGGCAGCAGUGGGGAAUAUUGGACAAUGGGCGGAAGUCUGAUACAGCCAUGCCGCGUGUGUGAAGAAGGCCUUAUGGUUGUAAAGCACUUUAAGCGAGGAGGAGGCUACUUAGAUUAAUACUCUAGGAUAGUGGGCGUUACUCGCAGAAUAAGCACCGGCUAACUCUGUGCCAGCAGCCGCAGUAA